CGUUUAGGGAGAGAAAUAAAAGAGCGUGAGAAAGAGAAAUGGAGAAUAUGGCUAUGAGAGAAUAUAUAUAUAGAAUUAAGCUGAAAUUCUAUUGAUAGUAUUUGAGCUAUUUUGCUAUCGAGUUUUUAACCGUUGGAUAAAAAAUUUUAGGUUAGGAUGAUAGUAAUCCCCUAGCUAGGAUUUAAUUAGUGGUGGUCCCUAGGGUUGAGUGGAUGUUGGUUGAAUAGUAUGAUCUAUAAGGUGAAAUUGAUUAAAAUAUAGAUCUAACGGCUAAAAAAUCGACAGUAAAGGAAUUCAAAUACUAUUAAUAGUAUCCCAACUCAACUCCUUAUAAACCAAAUUAUUAAUUCAA
rnacentral:lncRNA from 1 species